rnacentral:rRNA from 1 species
GACGAACCGAGCGAACGUUGUUCGGAAUCACUGGGCUUAAAGGGCGCGUAGGCGGGUGCUCAAGUCCGUGGUGAAAUCCUCCGGCUCAACCGGAGAACUGCCUCGGAUACUGGGCGUCUCGAGUGUGGUAGGGGUAUGCGGAACUAUCGGUGGAGCGGUGAAAUGCGUUGAUAUCGAUAGGAACUCCGGUGGCGAAGGCGGCUUUCUGGACGAUAACUGACGCUGAGACGCGAAAGCGUGGGGAGCAAACAGG